rnacentral:lncRNA from 1 species
AAUAAGGGGAGUGCAAUUUGCCUGGCGCCUGUUUUUUAAUUUUAAUUUUUAAAAGUUCUAAUUCUCCUAUGUAUGCAAUGAACUAGAGCCGUUGGAUCUUCAUCGUCUCGCUACCGUAUCAUGUUCAGCCUCACAUCUUCUCCCUCUCCCUCACGUAUCAUGUCCUACUUCACCUCUUCUCCCUCUCCCUCACUAGCCUGAAAAUUCUC